rnacentral:rRNA from 1 species
UGGGGAAUUUUGGACAAUGGGGGAAACCCUGAUCCAGCCAUCCCGCGUGUGCGAUGAAGGCCUUCGGGUUGUAAAGCACUUUUGGCAGGAAAGAAACGUCAUGGGUUAAUACCCCGUGAAACUGACGGUACCUGCAGAAUAAGCACCGGCUAACUACGUGCCAGCAGCCGCGGUAAUACGUAGGGUGCAAGCGUUAAUCGGAAUUACUGGGCGUAAAGCGUGCGCAGGCGGUUCGGAAAGAAAGAUGUGAAAUCCCAGAGCUCAACUUUGGAACUGCAUUUUUAACUACCGGGCUAGAGUGUGUCAGAGGGAGGUGGAAUUCCGCGUGUAGCAGUGAAAUGCGUAGAUAUGCGGAGGAACACCGAUGGCGAGGGCAGCCUCCUGAGAUAACACUGACGCUCAUGCACGAAAGCGUGGGGAGCAAGCAGG